rnacentral:rRNA from 1 species
AACGAACGCUGGCGGCAGGCUUAACACAUGCCAGUCGAACGGAUCCUUCGGGAUUAGUGGCAGACGGGUGAGUAACGCGUGGGAACGUACCCUUUGCUACGGAAUAACUCAGGGAAACUUGAGCUAAUACCGUAUGUGCCCUACGGGGGAAAGGUUUAUCGGCAAAGGAUCGGCCCGCGUUGGAUUACCUAGUUGGUGGGGUAAUGGCCUACCAAGGCGACGAUCCAUAGCUGGUCUGAGAGGAAGAUCAGCCACACUGGGACUGAGACACGGCCCAGACUCCUGCGGGAGGCAGCAGUGGGGAAUAUUGGACAAUGGGCGCAAGCCUGAUCCAGCCAUGCCGCGUGAGUGAUGAAGGUCUUAGGAUUGUAAAGCUCUUUCACCGGUGAAGAUAAUGACGGUAGCCGGAGAAGAAGCCCCGGCUAACUUCGUG